rnacentral:rRNA from 1 species
GAUGAACGCUGCCAGAAUGCUUAACACAUGCAAGUCAACUGUGGCGGACGGGUGAGUAACGCGUAAAGAACUUGCCUCACAGAUAGGGACAACAUUUGGAAACGAAUGCUAAUACCUGAUCCUGUGAGAGAUCUUUGCGUCCCAUUAGCUAGUUGGAGAGGUAACGGCUCAGCAAGGCGAUGAUGGGUAGCCGGCCUGAGAGGGUGAUCGGCCACAAGGGGAAUGAGACACGGCCCUUAGUCCUACGGGAGGCAGCAGUGGGGAAUAUUGGACAAUGGACCAAAGUCUGAUGCAGCAAUUCUGUGUGAACGAUGAAGUUUUCGGAAUGUAAAGUGCUUUCAGUUGGGAAGCAGUACCAACAGAAGAAGUGACGGCUAAAUACGUGCCAGCAGCCGCGGUAAUAC